AUUGUGGGGUUAGCACUAAUUUUCAUCCAGACUACGAAUCGUAUACGACAAGUCGCAGCGUGGAAACGUACCGAUCCUCUAUCACUCUCCCCUAUUUUGAUUACUGUGGUUCUGUGGGCGAUAAUUACAGAAAAAGUUUACGGGAUAACAGAAAUCAUCGACCAGCUAGAAUAAUUAAUACGAGCAAUGAACAACUUGUAUGUUAGACUAAAUUUUAAUCUAAGUAAAGACAAGCGAAUAAAACACAACAG